CAUUUACCUGGAACGUUUAGUGUGAAAUCCACUUUGGCUUUUAAUCUGAGUCCAGUAUCAAUUUUCUUCUGUUUUACAUUCCUGGUCCCAUCUUCCAGAACUCUGGUCCUGAGGGCCCCCCAGGCUCUCCCUCUAUUUUACCUCCUCGGUUUGGGUUUGUCAAGGUCUGCCCCUCUCCUUCCCAUCUCUUUUUCCUUUUCCCCUCCUCCUUUCCUCCCCCUCUACCUUCUUAAACAGCUUAAGUCCCUCUUCUCCCUUCUGUCUUGCACAGUACCUCUGAGCUCCACUCCCUGUUCUUAAGGAAAUCAGCCAGGCCUCAGAUGGAGCUGUUGUCCUGACAACCCACAGCCUCCUCAGGCUUCAUUGAGGCUGGCUGCUGCUGAAGGGGCAGUUGUGCAGAGCAGAGCUGGGGGCCAAGCCGGGGGAGGGGGAGGGGAUGACGUGGAGGGGCUGUUGGCCGCGGGCAGGGUAGGGGGGAGGUGCGGAGUAGAGUGUGAGCCCGGACUGGAGGCAGGAACAGGAAAGGGAGGAGGGGGAGAGACUCCGGGCUGCUUCUGGGGCUCCUGCGAGGCUGUUUCUUUACACUCACUGGCAGACUCGGGCCGGCUCCCUCCCGCCUGGGAAAGUGGGUUACCGGGAGUAGGCGCUCGGCUCCGGCGCUGGCAGAGGAGCAUCCAGCCACAGAGAGACCAGGACUGCCCGUUCGCAGCGUGGAUUUUAACCGAGGCACGGACAACAUCACCGUGAGGCAGGGGGACACGGCCAUCCUCAGGCCUCCAGGCGGGAUGUCGCACACGGAAGUCUUCACGUGGUUUGGGAUCCCCUCCACAAAGUAGCUGCUGUUCUUGUUCUGCACGUUGGGUAUCUGCUGAUCGACUUCCUUCAUGACAGACCACCCUGGAAGGGCGCAUCCACUGGCAGGUAGUGGCCGUGGAGCGGGUCACGGGCUGCCAUCAUAUUUCUGGCAUCGAAGACCUGCUGGGUGAGUUCCAGCCCCGUUAGGGUCCACUGUGAUACUGCUGGCUUGGGUGGCUGGUGAGUGGGGCAGAGUUUGGCACAAAGAAGAGGAGAUGUGUGGAAAGGGCACCAUGUUGACAGCCCGGAAAGCAGAGGCAAGUGGAGACGCCGUUCACAGUGGCAGAGACCAGGC
rnacentral:lncRNA from 1 species